CCUACGGGAGGCUGCAGUGGGGAAUAUUGCGCAAUGGGCGAAAGCCUGACGCAGCGACGCCGCGUGAGGGAUGAAGGUCUUCGGAUCGUAAACCUCUGUCAGCAGGGAAGAACGGUCACUGUGCUAAUCAGCAGUGAAUUGACGGUACCUGCAAAGGAAGCACAGACUAACUCCGUGCCAGCAGCCGCGGUAAUACGGGGGGUGCGAGCGUUAAUCGGAAUUACGGGGCGUAAAGCGCUCGUGGGCGGUAUGGCAAGUCAAGGGUGAAAUACCCGCGCUCAACGUGGGAACUGCCUUUGAAACUGGCAAACUGGAGUGUGUGAGAGGAGAGUGGAAUUCCAGGUGUAGGAGUGAAAUCCGUAGAUAUCUGGAGGAACAUCAGUGGCGAAGGCGACUAUCUGGCACAUAACUGACGCUGAGGAGCGAAGGCGUGGGUAGCAAACAGGAUUAGAUACCCUUGUAGUC
rnacentral:rRNA from 1 species